GCCCCUUUGGCGGGCCCGGCAGCGCGGGGAGGGACAGGAGGCGCGCAUGCGGAAUGUUUUGGGUUGUUUUGGGGUUUUCCUCGCCCUGGGAAGCGGCUGCCGCCCCGGAGAACAUCCCUGGGUGCGGGCAGCGGACACCCCCAAAAAAUCCACGCGUGUUUUCCUGGCCGGUCGGGACGCCGCUUCACGGUGCCCCCAGCCCGAGCUGUCCGACCGUGUUCCUCACCGGCCGCCUGUCAGUCAGGGUGAACUUGCUCGCCUUGUUUGUGCUUCGGCGGGUCGGUUUUGACUUACCCCUGUGGUAUGUGGAAGCGCCGACUCCAAUAAACCAUUAACUCUUUCUCGUGCCGGCAAUCAGGCUAGGCUUUGCCCGGGACGGCUCCACCGCCCUUUUAUGGCAAAGCCGGAACCGGGCUUACCGGGUGCGAUGCACGCGUGGGGUCUCAGCCCCUCCGGGAGCGCCACCGAGCCCCACGCCAGACGCGCCACAGGGUCCAGGCGGACGGCUGGGACAUCGCGCGGGGUCGGGAGGGGGAGUGAUGUCCGCUCGCCUCAGGGACUUCUUUGUCACGCCGCCCGCUGUCGUCUCGUCUGGGUUCCUCUCCGCGGAGCCCGCUCUAUCCUCCCGGUCCCCCGCUCCAGCCGCUGGGCUUCGCACCUUCCUUUGCCGCCGCACCGUUCCUCUGCCCGCCACCACCAGCCGCAGCUACUUCGAURUCGGGAUGUUUGGAGAGAAUCCGAGCGCCCACCUUCCACCGGAGUGUGGUCCCGGCGCUCUCCCCGACGGGACUCAUCCCCUGUCUCUCUUCGCACAGAUCGGAUGCCAGCUUGAGCGACUUCCCCUCGCGCCGCGCCAGCGGGAUAGCGCCCGGAUUAAGUCAGCUCAGGGGAAGGCAAGAGCGUGAUUCGUUCCCGGCCGCAGCCAUGAGCAGGGUGAGAAUCAGUAGCAUUUCUGGACUGGGAUCGGGGCGGAGAGGGAGAGUGGGCAGGGAGAAGCAGCAACGACUCACUGAUGCCACCACCAGUGGCACCCCCGGCUCCGGAAGGCUCCCGGCCCCGCUCCUGCCAGCGCCCGCGGAGAGCAGAGUGGGGGCCYCAGUGGGCUCGUUUCCAGCGAGGCUCUUUCCCCACUUUUUCCUMCCAAGCUGCUUCCCUCACAACCCCACUCCCCCUCCUUGUGACCCCGAACCCAUCGACGAGAGCAGCGUGUGGUGGUGGUCCGGUGUCGCGACAGAGCCGCGUGAAGCUCUCAAGGCAGGCACAUGGGUAAAACCCCCACUGACAAUUCCUACACGGGUGAAUGCCCCCAUUAUGACCCCUGCCCGUGGGUCCUUCCUGGGUGCUGCCGCGCCAAGGCUGCUUCUUCCGCCGGGCUGCUGCUCUGCAUCUGCGCAAAUGGCAAAGCAGAGUGCCGGCUGACAGGGCACCUGUGCCACAGAAACCGUGGGGAAGGGCCACGGCUGUCGACACGGGGCUCGGGGAGGUUCCUAGGUGAGUGGUCACCAUCUGUAUGAGAACAGUGCAACCACCAAYUCGCAGGUCCCCGCAGAGUCACGUACAGGUAAACUGAUCUUAAAAAGAAGCACUUGCAUAACUACCAGCAGAGAAGAUGCCUCAGCUCAUGGAGUAUCUUCCGAAAAUGUCACCAUUUGCAAACCCAUGGGUUCAUCUUCGCGUGUUUCUGUCACCAAAUASUGAAAAUGGUAAUAAGAAUUUAUUGGUCAUAAAUUAUUGUACAACAGGCUUUCACAGGCUGAAAUCUCUCAAUGGCUCAGUACUGGCUCAAGUCUAUUUUUCUAGUCAUAAAUGAAAUACUUUAUUCGAAGGUCUCCUUUUCAAAGAKCUUUCCCCCUCCCCUCACCUAAGGUUUGCGGCAACCACUGACUACUAAAACAAYCACCCGUGGUUAUUUCAGCGACGCUGGUAGUGACAGGGGGUCUGCCUUUCCCUAGUAAUCUGCUUUCAAGAUAGUUUGCACCAAGCGAUGGAAACUCUUAUCAGCUCCGCUUGGAGCAAGGUUGAAUUCGUGUUAGGAACGACCGGAGGGUCCCAGGUCUCCCCCGGUUUGAGGCAGGCACGGCGCAGGGGAGGAGGCUGCUCUUCCCGCGGGGAUUUCCGCGGYCGCGGUGCGGCGCGGAGCGGCUGCCUGCACACCCCUCGUACACACAGACACACACACAGAGACACACACACACACACGCAGAGGCACAGACACUCUCUCGGAAAGCCUUCAAAUCCCCAAACACAAAAAGGGAAGGCUUUAUCGGAGUUUAGUUACUUAUCUGGAUUUUUGUUAAACCGCUGCUGUGAUCUCCGCGUAGUUGCGCGAGUGUGUUAAUUGUUCUGAUAAUGUGUUGUUAUCGAUACAAUAACAAUACAGUCGUGUAUAAUGUGAUUUACUUGCCUUUGACCUGUCAAUUCCUGGCGCAUGCAAAUUCAAGGGCGCGAUCUUUCCUUCUGCUACCGGGGGAGGGGGUGAAGGGAGGGGUGAUUGUGGGGGGGAACAAAAACCCGAGCAGAUGCUUUAUCACAGGAAGGCUAAACAGGACUUUCCAGAAUGCAAUGCUAUAUUCCAUCACGCAAGAUCAGAGCGCUUUUAGAAAUAUUAAAGGGGGGGUUAGACUAUCUUCUCGAUAACCCGUGUGUUAAUUCUGUCGGCUUGCUUAUAGUAGGUGUAACUACACCCACUCCAAAUACUGCCCGAUUUCUCAAAUUCUGACCAAACAUCUAAUUUCUCGUGCUUUUUUAAAGACGAAUUUAAAGUGAGUUUCKAGGAAGCAAGCUCAUUUCCUCCUAAUUUUUAUUUGAGCCUAACAA